rnacentral:sRNA from 1 species
UGCAUGCGCUUAUCGGGAAGGGUGAGAACCUUCGAUUAAGGUUCGACUCGAGCGAAAGCGAGAGAACGUCGCCAGAGGCAACGGCCCGAAGGGUGAGGAACGAAGUGACGAAUAAUCCUGCCCCCACCACCA